rnacentral:tRNA from 1 species
UCCCUUGUGACUCAGCUGGUAAAGAAUCCGCCUGCAAUGCGGGAGACCUGGGUUCAAUUCCUGGAUUGGGAA